CAGCGUCACAAGUGGCGUCCGCUUUUAUUGGGUCUAAAGUGUCCGUAGCUGGAUUUGUAAAUCCUCUGUGAAAGCGUUAGGCUCAACCUAACGAAUUGCAAGGGAGACUGCAAAUCUUGAGACCGGGAGGGGCUAGAGGUAUUCCCAGGGUAGCGGUAAAAUGCGAUAAUCCUGGGAGGACCACCUGUGGCGAAGGCGUCUAGCUAGAACAGGUCUGACAGUCAGGGACGAAGGCUAGGGGAGCGAUCCGGAUUAGAUACCCGAGUAGUCC
rnacentral:rRNA from 1 species